rnacentral:rRNA from 1 species
AAUACGUUAAGGGAUUAUGUCUUAUUAAGUUCUAAAUAAUAAGCUGAUAAUGACAAUUUAUUAUUUAAAAGUCUUGACCAAAUCUUGUGCCAGCAGUCGCGGCAAUACAAGUAAGACUAGUGUUAUUCAUCUUUAUUAGGUUUAAAAGGUACCUAGAUUGCAAUUUUAGCCUUAUUAGGGGACAAAAUAUGCUAGAGUUUUAUGUGAGAGGUAGAUGUUAGAGCUGUCGGUGUAGAGAUGAAAUAUUUUGAUACAGGCAGAAAUGAUGAUGGUAAAUACAGACCUUUAUGUAAAAACUGACAUUGAGGGACGAAGGCCUGGGUAGCGAAUAGGAUUAGACACCCUAGUAGUCCAGGCAGAGAAUUAUGAGUGUUAUAUGUUAUUACGCAAAAUUAUGGUAUCUCCAAGUACUGUAAUUAAAAGCGAUAUGUAAUGUAUAAAUUAAAGUGUAAGCAUUCCACCUCAAGAGUAAUGCGGCAACGCAGGAACUGAAAUCAUUAGACCGUUUCUGAAACCAGUAGUGAAGUAUGUUAUUUAAUUCGAUGAUCCUCGAAUAACCUUACCACAAUUUGAAUGUAUUAACAUAAUAACAGCAUUUGCAUAAAAUUUAAUUUUAUUGCGCUGAUAGUAUGUUAAUAUCACAGGCGUUGCACGGUUGUCUUUAGUUGAUGUCGU